rnacentral:rRNA from 1 species
UACGUAGGGUGCGAGCGUUGUCCGGAAUUAUUGGGCGUAAAGAGCUUGUAGGCGGUUUGUCGCGUCUGCCGUGAAAAUUCCGAGGCUCAACCUCGGAACUUGCGAGUGGGUACGGGCAGACUAGAGUGUGGUAGGGGAGACUGGAAUUCCUGGUGUAGCGGUGAAAUGCGCAGAUAUCAGGAGGAACACCGAUGGCGAAGGCAGGUCUCUGGGCCAUAACUGACGCUGAGAAGCGAAAGCAUGGGGAGCGAACAGG